GGUGCUAGGACUAGUGGGUCGGCCUCGGCGCUCUCACCCCCGUGACCCGGGUUCGAUUCCCAGCCAGGGGACCA